rnacentral:rRNA from 1 species
UAGGGAAUCUUCGGCAAUGGGGGGAACCCUGACCGAGCAACGCCGCGUGAGGGAAGAAGGUUUUCGGAUCGUAAAGCUCUGUUGUUAAGGAAGAACGAGUGUGAGAAUGGAAAGUUCAUACUGUGACGGUACUUAACCAGAAAGGGACGGCUAACUACGUGCCAGCAGCCGCGGUAAUACGUAGGUCCCGAGCGUUGUCCGGAUUUAUUGGGCGUAAAGCGAGCGCAGGCGGUUAGAUAAGUCUGAAGUUAAGGGCAGUGGCUCAACCAUUGUAGGCUUUGGAAACUGUUUAACUUGAGUGCAGAAGGGGAGAGUGGAAUUCCAUGUGUAGCGGUGAAAUGCGUAGAUAUAUGGAGGAACACCGGUGGCGAAAGCGGCUCUCUGGUCUGUAACUGACGCUGAGGCUCGAAAGCGUGGGGAGCGAACAGG